rnacentral:rRNA from 1 species
CUGGCGGCAUGCCUUACACAUGCAAGUCGAACGGCAGCACGGGAGCAAUCCUGGUGGCGAGUGGCGAACGGGUGAGUAAUAUAUCGGAACGUGCCCAGUCGUGGGGGAUAACGUAGCGAAAGCUACGCUAAUACCGCAUACGAUCUACGGAUGAAAGCGGGGGAUCGCAAGACCUCGCGCGAUUGGAGCGGCCGAUAUCAGAUUAGGUAGUUGGUGAGGUAAAGGCUCACCAAGCCGACGAUCUGUAGCUGGUCUGAGAGGACGACCAGCCACACUGGGACUGAGACACGGCCCAGACUCCUACGGGAGGCAGCAGUGGGGAAUUUUGGACAAUGGGCGCAAGCCUGAUCCAGCAAUGCCGCGUGCAGGAUGAAGGCCUUCGGGUUGUAAACUGCUUUGUACGGAACGAAACGGUGAGCUCUAAUACAGUUUGCUAAUGACGGUACCGUAAGAAUAAGCACCGGCUAACUACGUG